rnacentral:rRNA from 1 species
GGUUAAGCGACUAAGCGUACACGGUGGAUGCCCUGGCAGUCAGAGGCGAUGAAGGGCGUGCUAAUCUGCGAUAAGCGCCGGUAAGGUGAUAUGAACCGUUAUAACCGGCGAUACCCGAAUGGGGAAACCCAGUGUGAUUCGUCACACUAUCAUUAACUGAAUCCAUAGGUUAAUGAGGCGAACCGGGGGAACUGAAACAUCUAAGUACCCCGAGGAAAAGAAAUCAACCGAGAUUCCCCCAGUAGCGGCGAGCGAACGGGGAGGAGCCCAGAGCCUGAAUCAGCAUGUGUGUUAGUGGAAGCGUCUGGAAAGGCGCGCGAUACAGGGUGACAGCCCCGUACACAAAAGCGCAUGUGCUGUGAGCUCGAUGAGUAGGGCGGGACACGUGGUAUCCUGUCUGAAUAUGGGGGGACCAUCCUCCAAGGCUAAAUACUCCUGACUGACCGAUAGUGAACCAGUACCGUGAGGGAAAGGCGAAAAGAACCCCGGCGAGGGGAGUGAAAAAGAACCUGAAACCGUGUACGUACAAGCAGUGGGAGCACCCUUUGGGUGUGACUGCGUACCUUUUGUAUAAUGGGUCAGCGACUUAUAUUCUGUAGCAAGGUUAACCGAAUAGGGGAGCCGGAGGGAAACCGAGUCUUAACCGGGCGUUAAGUUG